rnacentral:rRNA from 1 species
UACGUAGGGGGCAAGCGUUGUCCGGAAUCAUUGGGCGUAAAGCGCGCGUAGGCGGCCCGGUAAGUCCGUUGUGAAAGUCAAAGGCUCAACCUUUGAACGCCGAUGGAUACUGCCGGGCUAGAGUCCGGAAGAGGCGAGUGGAAUUCCUGGUGUAGCGGUGGAAUGCGCAGAUAUCAGGAGGAACACCAAUAGCGAAGGCAGCUCGCUGGGACGGUACUGACGCUGAGGCGCGAAAGCGUGGGAGCGAACAGG